rnacentral:rRNA from 1 species
GACGAACGCUGGCGGCGUGCCUAAUACAUGCAAGUCGAACGGUCCUUUCUAUGGAAGCUUGCUUCCGCUGAGAAGAUAGUGGCGAACGGGUGAGUAACACGUGGGUAACCUGCCCAUAAGAGGGGGAUAACAUCCGGAAACGGGUGCUAAUACCGCAUAGUUUUCUUGAUCGCAUGAUCGAGAAAGGAAAGACGGCCUUUGUGCUGUCACUUAUGGAUGGACCCGCGGCGUAUUAGUUAGUUGGUGAGGUAACGGCUCACCAAGACGAUGAUACGUAGCCGACCUGAGAGGGUGAUCGGCCACAUUGGGACUGAGACACGGCCCAAACUCCUACGGGAGGCAGCAGUAGGGAAUCUUCCGCAAUGGACGAAAGUCUGACGGAGCAACGCCGCGUGAGUGAAGAAGGUUUUCGGAUCGUAAAACUCUGUUGUCAGAGAAGAACAAGUCGGAGAGUAACUGCUCCGGCCUUGACGGUAUCUGACCAGAAAGCCACGGCUAACUACGUGCCAGCCGCCGCAGUAACAC